AGAGUUUGAUCCUGGCUCAGGAUGAACGCUAGCGACAGGCCUAACACAUGCAAGUCGAGGGGCAUCGGGGCGAGGAGCAAUCCUUGCCGCCGGCGACCGGCGCACGGGUGAGUAACGCGUAUGCGACCUGCCCGUUGCAGGGGGAUAAUCGGGAGAAAUCCCGUCUAAUACCGCGUAACGCCGCGGGGCUGCAUGGCCCUGCGGCCAAAGGGAGCGAUUCCGGCAACGGAUGGGCAUGCGUGACAUUAGCUAGUUGGCGGGGCAACGGCCCACCAAGGCGACGAUGUCUAGGGGUUCUGAGAGGAAGGUCCCCCACACUGGUACUGAGACACGGACCAGACUCCUACGGGAGGCAGCAGUGAGGAAUAUUGGUCAAUGGGCGCGAGCCUGAACCAGCCAAGUCGCGUGAGGGAUGACGGCCCUACGGGUUGUAAACCUCUUUUGUCGGGGAGCAAAUUCCGCCACGUGUGGCGGAGUCGAGAGUACCCGAAGAAAAAGCAUCGGCUAACUCCGUGCCAGCAGCCGCGGUAAUACGGAGGAUGCGAGCGUUAUCCGGAUUUAUUGGGUUUAAAGGGUGCGUAGGCGGACUGUCAAGUCAGCGGUAAAAUACGGGGGCUCAACCUCCGCCCGCCGUUGAAACUGACGGUCUUGAGUGGGCGAGAAGUAUGCGGAAUGCGUGGUGUAGCGGUGAAAUGCAUAGAUAUCACGCAGAACUCCGAUUGCGAAGGCAGCAUACCGGCGCCCAACUGACGCUGAAGCACGAAAGCGUGGGUAUCGAACAGGAUUAGAUACCCUGGUAGUCCACGCAGUAAACGAUGAAUACUAGCUGUCCGGGGCGAAUGAGCCCUGGGUGGCACAGCGAAAGCGUUAAGUAUUCCACCUGGGGAGUACGCCGGCAACGGUGAAACUCAAAGGAAUUGACGGGGGCCCGCACAAGCGGAGGAACAUGUGGUUUAAUUCGAUGAUACGCGAGGAACCUUACCCGGGCUCAAACGACACAGGAACGUACCUGAAAGGGUUCGGCUCUACGGAGCCUGUGUCGAGGUGCUGCAUGGUUGUCGUCAGCUCGUGCCGUGAGGUGUCGGCUUAAGUGCCAUAACGAGCGCAACCCCCAUCGACAGUUGCUAACAGGUCAGGCUGAGGACUCUGUCGAGACUGCCGGCGCAAGCUGCGAGGAAGGCGGGGAUGACGUCAAAUCAGCACGGCCCUUACGUCCGGGGCGACACACGUGUUACAAUGGCAGGUACAGCGGGAAGCCACCUGGCGACAGGGAGCGGAACCCGAAAGCCUGUCUCAGUUCGGAUUGGAGUCUGCAACCCGACUCCAUGAAGCUGGAUUCGCUAGUAAUCGCGCAUCAGCCACGGCGCGGUGAAUACGUUCCCGGGCCUUGUACACACCGCCCGUCAAGCCAUGGAAGCCGGGGGUGCCUGAAGUGCGCUGCCGCGAGGAGCGCCCUAGGGUAAAACCGGUGACUGGGGCUAAGUCGUAACAAGGUAGCCGU
rnacentral:rRNA from 1 species